UUCGCGCGCGGACUCGCCCCAAAUUCAUUGGCAGCGGUCCUUGCCUCCUCUCGCGCAGCACAAUUGCGUCUGCGGGGGGGCGUGGCCCGCGUCCACGAAGCAACAUUACCGUCUUUGACCUCGGAUCAGGUAGGGAUACCCGCUGAACUUAAGCAUAUCAAUAAGCGGAGGAAAAGAAACCAACAGGGAUUGCCCUAGUAACGGCGAGUGAAGCGGCAACAGCUCAAAUUUGAAAUCUGGCUCUCUUUGGGGGUCCGAGUUGUAAUUUGCAGAGGAUGCUUUGGCAUUGGCGGCGGUCUAAGUUCCUUGGAACAGGACAUCACAGAGGGUGAGAAUCCCGUACGUGGUCGCCUGCCUUUGCCGUGUAAAGCUCCUUCGACGAGUCGAGUUGUUUGGGAAUGCAGCUCUAAAUGGGAGGUAAAUUUCUUCUAAAGCUAAAUACUGGCCAGAGACCGAUAGCGCACAAGUAGAGUGAUCGAAAGAUGAAAAGUACUUUGGAAAGAGAGUCAAAAAGCACGUGAAAUUGUUGAAAGGGAAGCGCUUGCAGCCAGACUUGCCCGCAGUUGCUCACCUAGGCUUUGGCCUGGGGCACUCUUCUGCGGGCAGGCCAGCAUCAGUUUGGGCGGUUGGAUAAAGGCCUCUGUCACGUAUCUCCCUUCGGGGUGACCUUAUAGGGGAGGCGCAAUGCAACCAGCCCGGACUGA
rnacentral:sRNA from 1 species